AUACGUAGGGGGCGAGCGUUGUCCGGAAUGAUUGGGCGUAAAGGGCGCGUAGGCGGCGCGGUAAGUCUGGAGUGAAAGUCCUGCUUUCAAGGUGGGAAUUGCUUUGGAUACUGCCGCGCUUGAGUGCAGGAGAGGUUAUCGGAAUUCCCGGUGUAGCGGUGAAAUGCGUAGAGAUCACACAGAACACCGAUUGCGAAGGCAUCUCACGAACGGAUGAUUGACGCUGAGGCACGAAAGCGUGGGGAUCAAACAGGAUUAGAUACCCUGGUAGUCCACACUGUAAACGAUGAAUGCUAGGUGUAAGAGGUAUCGACCCCUUUUGUGCCGGAGUUAACACAAUAAGCAUUCCGCCUGGGGAGUACGGCCGCAAGGUUGAAACUCAAAUGAAUUGACGGGG
rnacentral:rRNA from 1 species